rnacentral:rRNA from 1 species
AACGGAGGGGGCAAGCGUUAUUCAUCCUUAUUGGGCGUAAAGAGCUCGUAGGCGGUUUGUCGCGUCUGCUGUGAAAACUCAGGGCUUAACCCUGAGCCUGCAGUGGGUACGGGCAGACUAGAGUGUGGUAGGGGAGAUCGGAAUUCCUGGUGUAGCGGUGAAAUGCGCAGAUAUCAGGAGGAACACCGGUGGCGAAGGCGGUUCUCUGGGCAUUACCUGACGCUGAGGAGCGAAAGUGUGGGGAGCGAACAGG